rnacentral:rRNA from 1 species
UACGUAGGGUGCAAGCGUUGUCCGGAAUUAUUGGGCGUAAAGAGCUCGUAGGCGGUCUGUCGCGUCGGCUGUGAAAUCCCGGAGCUCAACUCCGGGCCUGCAGUCGAUACGGGCAGACUGGAGUUCGGCAGGGGAGACUGGAAUUCCUGGUGUAGCGGUGAAAUGCGCAGAUAUCUGGAGGAACACCGGUGGCGAAGGCGGGUCUCUGGGCCGAUACUGACGCUGAGGAGCGAAAGCGUGGGGAGCGAACAGG